rnacentral:rRNA from 1 species
AGCCAGACUCCUACGGGAGGCAGCAGUGAGGAAUAUUGGUCAAUGGGCGAGAGCCUGAACCAGCCAAGUCGCGUGAGGGACGACGGCCCUACGGGUUGUAAACCUCUUUUGCCGGGGGACAAACGGCGGCACGCGUGCCGUCCUGAGGGUACCCGGAGAAAAAGCAUCGGCUAACUCCGUGCCAGCAGCCGCGGUAAUACGGAGGAUGCGAGCGUUGUUCGGAAUGACUGGGCGUAAAGGGUGCGUAGGCGGUGUAGCAAGUUAGAAGUGAAAUACCUAGAGCUUAACUCAGGUGCUGCUUCUAAAACUGCUAUACUUGAGUGCAGUAGAGGAAAGUGGAAUUCCUAGUGUAGCGGUGGAAUGCGUAGAUAUUAGGAGGAACAUCAGUGGCGAAGGCGACUUUCUGGACUGUAACUGACGCUGAGGCACGAAAGUGUGGGGAGCAAACAGGAUUAGAUACCCCGGUAGA